rnacentral:rRNA from 1 species
CAGCAGCCGCGGUAAUACGGAGGGGGCUAGCGUUGUUCGGAGUUACUGGGCGUAAAGCGCACGUAGGCGGCUUGGUAAGUUAGAGGUGAAAGCCUGGAGCUCAACUCCAGAAUUGCCUUUAAGACUGCCGAGCUAGCAGGUGAGAGAGGUAAGUGGAAUUCCGAGUGUAGAGGUGAAAUUCGUAGAUAUUCGGAAGAACACCAGUGGCGAAGGCGGCUUACUGGCUCAUACUGGACGCUGAGGUGCGAAAGCGUGGGGAGCAAACAGGAUUAGAUACCCCGGUAGUCCCUGUCUCUUAUAC